CCCGUUUCGGCUCGGUGAAGCUACCUAUGGGUUGCUGUUCAUUUAACAAACGGUGAUCCGGAUAAACAUGUUCACUUCUUCGCCUGGGCAAACUUUCCAGCCCCCGACCCACUCAUGUCACGAUACCUUCCCGUGUCCAAGUCCGGCUCUCUGCUCCCCACUUUUUUUUUUUUUUUUUUUUGAGACAGAGUGUUUCUCUGUCUCCCAGGCUGGAGUGCAGUGGCGCGAUCUCAACUCACAGUACCCCCUGCCUCCCGGGUUCAAACGAUUUUCUUGCCUCAGCCUCCUGAGUAGCUGGGAUUACAGGCGCGCGCCACCACAGCCGGCUAAUUUUUAUGUUUUAGUAGAGACAGGGUUUCACCAUGUUGGCCAGGAUGGUCUCCAUCUCUUGACCUCGUGAUCCGCCCGCCUCGGCCUCUCAAGGUGCUGGGAUUACAGGUGUGAGCCGCCGCGCCCGGCCUCUUUGCUCUUUUAUACUCUCAGAAGCAAUGAGUUCUGGUUAAAAAAAAGGGCUCGAUAGACGGAAAAAAUGAAGGCUUAAAGAACUGACAACAAAAUAUUAACAUUUGGCUUGUGGAAUUCUUACACUCUCGUAAGCAGAAAAAACAAAUGUUAUGGCAAAAAAGUGUCUCAGACAAAUCCGUCUUGGGGGGAAAAAAAUUAAAAGAAUGAGAAAAACAGACUUCGGAAUAAAUAGACCCAAAGGAGGAAGUAUUGAAAAUGGCAAGAUUCACUUUUACAAACUUAUUUGGAACCACGGCAGAUGGCCAGGGCAGGGAUUUUGCAAGGCAGCUCCAGUUGAGCAGUUGAUUUCUCACCGCCCACCCCCGACCCCACCACUAUUGAUCAUGAGGUGCUUUGAGGGGUCCGGGUUUGGAGGACUGAAACACCGUGGGAUCUUGGAACAGCUCUUCCUUGUUGGUGAUCCCUUAUUAAGAAGCCCUCCAGCCUGACAAUGCUGAAGCCCUG
rnacentral:lncRNA from 1 species